UCAAAUAUAUGUUUAUGGUCACAUAACCCCACCACUGAUUCAAAUCUGAUGUUGGCUGAUGUUAUCUAAUAAAAAUAUGGAUUAAUUUGAUAGAUUAAUUUUUUUUAAUUAUUAUUUUUUACACACUAGCGAUUAAAGCAAGAACAGUUGAAAAGAAUCUCACACCUAAACAGUGUCAUGACGGAAGCCUUCACUGGCGACUGAGUGACAACCACGGCUCGUGUUUUGCAUUCCAGGCAGACACGCUCGACAGACGCUGUUAUCCCGCUACAGUUUCGCCCAACACCUUUUGAAUAUCUCGCUUAAGAAAACACCGAAGCCCACAUUGGAGGCUGCGUGCGUCGGGUGGUUGGUUGGCUGGUCAAAAACAAGACGGAGCAAGAGGGCGCUCGUUACGUUGGCAGAACGGCAAGCUACGCUCGGUCACACGUUAAUGGAGGCGUCACACACAGCCGUGCCAAAAAAAAAAACAAAAAACAUGGCGCUUGUCUGAAUGCUAACGCUUAUGUGGUCGAUGAAAUCCGCUCAUGUUUUUGUUGGAUUUGAGACAGGUAUACUGGAGCAUUCCUUGGCCACGCACUCAUGUAAACAGUGCUAGUUAGAGAGGACACACGGCGGCUCAGGCUACACACUCCUCUGGGUGGCUCCUAUCUGACGGAGCUCUCGCAGCGUUUUGGGUUUCCUACGCAUGUCAAGGUUAGGGACUGACAGUGGCAAGGUAUUGGGGUACUGGCUGGAUAUCGAACCGAUGUCCUUUGCACAGAAGGUGCUUGCACGUAUCACAACACCACCGGUGCAAAUUGAUUGCCUCAAAAGAAUUUGAUCAACAACGUUGCCCGCGUGUGUAUCCGUCAGCCGAGUGAAAGAAUCUUUAAAUGCACGCAUCGGGGCAAGAGACCGUCCAAUGCUGUGGUCUCAACUCCUACAAUCGGCGCAACCCUUCCAGGCUCCAAACCACAUUCAUGACCAAAUAUGGCCCGAUCCCAUCAACAUGGACCCUCGCUCAGACUGAUACACGGGCAACGGUAUUUGGACACACCUCGUCAUCAAUCAAUCGGAGGUCGGACGAGACCUUUCUUGAAAUGAUUUGGACAAUUACAGCUUUUAGAGGGAAGUUCGGGGAAGGCCAAAACCCAAGUCGGUCAAGCUAUGCUUGGAAGCUUCGGUGUGGAAGAAUGUGUGCAAUUCCAACGCCUGUGUAACAUUGUCAUUGUCCCAAUCGUUUUGCCUGUGCGUUGUGUUUCAGCGAUGGAGGCAAAGGAGGAGGAAAAGUGGAUGAUGUGGACACCAUGCAGCCAAGACCGGGUUUCUCCCAUGUGAUGGCAGUCCUUGGUGAGGUGAAACUGUGAUGAUGUCAUCAAGACCUUUUGGAGACAAAGAAGGAUGUAAGAGAGUCUGGCGGAUAAACAAAUAUGGAUGUAGCGUUACCUUCGUGUGUCAACUACAACAUUAAGGGAGUCAAAACGACCAUCCGAUUGCUUCUUACGAGCACAAGUUAUAAAAUCGAACAGUGAGAGGACAACAGAAGUGAUACAACCGUCACAUACUCGGAACUUUGUUUCGCAGAGCAUAAUUUGCUGUUUGCCAACAAAGUGUUGUCCAGAGUUCACCUGUGGCUUUUCCACAUUGCUCGGACCCCACCUGCCCACAGGGGAUACGCACAUUGGUGGACUUUCACCCU